rnacentral:rRNA from 1 species
UAACAAAGAGAAGCGAGACGGAGACGUUAAGCGAAACCCAAAAAAGUAAGUCUCAGUUCGGAUUGAAGGCUGAAAUUCGCCUUCAUGAAGCCGGAAUUGCUAGUAAUGGCAGGUCAGCAUACUGCCGUGAAUACGUUCCCGGGCCUUGUACACACCGCCCGUCACACCAUGAGAGUUGGGAAUACCCGAAGCCUGUGAGCUAACGUAAGAGGCAGCAGUCGAAGGUAGAAUCAAUGAUUGGGGUGAAGUCGUAACAAGGUACC